rnacentral:tRNA from 1 species
GGGAGAUUAGCUCAGUUGGUUAGAGCACCUGCCUUACAAGCAGGGGGUCAUAGGUUCGAGUCCUAUAUCUCCCACCA